UACGAGGGGGGCGAGCGUUGUUCGGAAUUAUUGGGCGUAAAGGGUGCGUAGGCGGUUUGGUAAGUCUUGUGUGAAAUCUCCAGGCUCAACUUGGAGUCUGCACGAGAAACUGCCGGGCUUGAGUGUGGGAGAGGUGAGUGGAAUUCCUGGUGUAGAGGUGAAAUUCGUAGAUAUCGGGAGGAACACCGAGAGGCGAAGGCGGCCACCUGGACAGAGAUUGACGCUGAGACGCGAAAGCGUGGGGAGCAAACAGG
rnacentral:rRNA from 1 species